UCUUAGGACCAGGUCUUCUAGAUGGAAGACUUUCGGCUUAACUUUUGCAUUAUAAUAUCGGAUUACUCUUUGCCGAUAUGCUGCCAUCCGAACUUGAGCUUGUUGUCGUACUUUCAAAAGUAAGUCUAGAUCAGCUCUCCAAUAUUCUGAAUUGUUCUGCUCGUUAUAUUGUUCUACUCUUGUUGAUGGUAAUUCGAUCUCAAGUGGGAUCAUCGUUUCUGUUCCAUAGGUCAGAUUGAAUGGCGAUUCUUCCAUUGGUAUACGCGGAGUUGUUCGAUAUGCCUAUA
rnacentral:lncRNA from 1 species